GAUGGGCCCGCAUCUGAUUAGCUAGUUGGUGAGAUAACAGCCCACCAAGGCGACGAUCAGUAGCCGACCUGAGAGGGUGAUCGGCCACAUUGGGACUGAGACACGGCCCAAACUCCUACGGGAGGCAGCAGUGGGGAAUAUUGCACAAUGGGGGAAACCCUGAUGCAGCGACGCCGCGUGGAGGAAGAAGGUCUUCGGGUUGUAAACUCCUGUUGUUGAGGAAGAUAAUGACGGUACUCAACAAGGAAGUGACGGCUAACUACGUGCCAGCAGCCGCGGUAAAACGUAGGUCACAAGCGUUGUCCGGAAUUACUGGGUGUAAAGGGAGCGCAGGCGGGAAGACAAGUUGGAAGUGAAAUCUAUGGGCUUAACCCAUAAACUGCUUUCAAAACUGUUUUUCUUGAGUAGUGCAGAGGUAGGCGGAAUUCCCGGUGUAGCGGUGGAAUGCGUAGAUAUCGGGAGGAACACCAGUGGCGAAGGCGGCCUACUGGGCACCAACUGACGCUGAGGCUCGAAAGUGUGGGUAGCAAACAGGAUUAGAUACCCUGGUAGUC
rnacentral:rRNA from 1 species